CACGGACCAAGGAGUCUCACAUAUGUGCGAGUAUAGGGGUGGCAAACCCCCAUGCGUAAUGAAAGUAACAGUGGUGGGACCUUUGGGCACCAUCCGCCGGCCUCUUGACUUCGGUCUAUCGGUCUGAGUGUGAGCAUACAUGUUGGGACCCGAAAGAUGGUGAACUAUGCCUGAGCAGGCCGAAGCCAGGGGAAACUCUGGUGGAGGGCCGCAGCGAUUCUAACGUGCAAAUUGAUCGUCGGAUUUGGGUAUAGGGGCGAAAGACUAAUCGAACCAUCGAGUAGCUGGUUCCCUCCGAAAUUUCCCUUAGGAUAGCUG
rnacentral:rRNA from 1 species